GACGAACGCUGGCGGCGUGCUUAACACAUGCAAGUCGAACGAUGAAGCCUAAGCUUGCUUGGGUGGAUUAGUGGCGAACGGGUGAGUAACACGUGGGUGAUCUGCCCCGCACUUCGGGAUAAGCCUGGGAAACUGGGUCUAAUACCGGAUACGACCCCCUGGUAGGUCAGGGGGUGGAAAGAUUUAUCGGUGUGGGAUGAGCCUGCGGCCUAUCAGCUUGUUGGUGGGGUAAUGGCCUACCAAGGCGUCGACGGGUAGCCGGCCUGAGAGGGUGAUCGGCCACAUUGGGACUGAGACACGGCCCAG
rnacentral:rRNA from 1 species